rnacentral:lncRNA from 1 species
GGUGGAUAUGUAGUUUAUAAAAACUGCAUUGUUGUCAUAAAAGUAUAUGUUACCCAAGAAAAUCAAUUGAAGUAUAUUAUAAUUACUGAACAGUUUUAGAGGGUAUUUGAACAUCUCUCUUUGACUUUCUUAGAUAAAUUUUGGUUAUGUCAGACUGAAGCGCUUAAUUCUUUAAGAUCAUCACUACAGAGAAAUUUAAUUAAGAGGACUUCAGGAGCCUGUUAUUCAGUGGUUGUCGUUUGUUUAUGUGUUACAUAUUUGUUUUUCGUUCAUUUUUUUAAUAAAUAAGGCCGUUAGUUUUCUCGUUUGAAUUGUUUUACAUUGUCUUAUCGGGGCCUAUUAUAGCUGGCUAUGCGGUAUGGGCUUUGCUCAUUGUUGAAGGCUGUACGAUGACCUAUAGUUGUUAAUGUCUAUGUCAUUUUGGUCUUUUUUGGAUAGUUGUCUCAUUAGCAAUUAUACCACAUCUUCUUUUUUAUAUUCAGUACUAGACAUUGAAAUAUCAGCUCAAAUUCAGUGCGCUUAAUCUUAUUGUGUAUGAACUUAUAAAUGGUAUAUUGAGAAUUUGAGAUGGCAUAUUAAUUUGUUAUCUAUUAUUGUUCUUUCAUUAAAGAAACACUAUAUCUAUAUAUAAAUCCAUACCAUGUAUAUAAUAGGAGCAAAAUUUCAAUAGAAAAUGUACAGCAUUUCUCUUUUUUAUAUAACAUACAAAAUGAAAGCAAAUUAAUGAAAAUAGUGUGUGUUGAAAUACAAAACAAUUACAUCUACAUAUAAGCAGGACUUAGUGACUUUAAUUAGAUACUUUUAAAAUUAUUUGAGAUCUAAUCAGGUGCUAUAACCUGAUCUGAAAAUUUAUCAUAGAAGAAUGUGUUAUAUGUGAAUACCCAUCCCUACAAAUGCAAAGCUUGCAGUAUAGCUAUAACUUGCUGUAACACUGACUUGUUUUGUG